CACACAACCAAACACACACACCAACACACAGUUCUUUAAAAGCCCCCUGGUGGACAUCACAGUUGGAACUUGUUCUAGACACAGUCGACUCGCUUGAUUAUUGACUGGAAUUACAACAGGUAUUUGUAAUACAACCUUUUGGAUGGUAAUAUGUUGCCUUGGAUUCGGAGUUUUUGUUUCCGCUGGAGGCCAAAUGACAACAAUAUCUAAUUAGAGCGCAUUAUCCACGUCAGAAGUUAAACCUCCGUGGUUAGGCAAGUUAUUACUUCAUUUUCAGAAAUAGACGUAAUUGCGUAAAUGUUAAUUACCUACACGUUGGUUAUUGAAGAACGAGAUGUGGGAGUA